rnacentral:rRNA from 1 species
ACGGCGAAGUGAAGCGGCAACAGCUCAAAUUUGAAAUCUGGCUCCCUUUGGGGGUCCGAGUUGUAAUUUGCAGAGGGUGCUUUGGCGUUGGUGGCGGUCUAAGUUUCCUUGGAACAGGACAUCGCAGAGGGUGAGAAUCCCGUUUGUGGUCGCAUGCCUUCGCCGUGUAAAGCCCCUUCGACGAGUCGAGUUGUUUGGGAAUGCAGCUCUAAAUGGGAGGUAAAUUUCUUCUAAAGCUAAAUACUGGCCAGAGACCGAUAGCGCACAAGUAGAGUGAUCGAAAGAUGAAAAGCACUUUGGAAAGAGAGUCAAACAGCACGUGAAAUUGUUGAAAGGGAAGCGCUUGCAGCCAGACUUGCCCGCAGUUGCUCACCUAGGCUUUUGCCUGGGGCAUUCUUCUGCGGGCAGGCCAGCAUCAGUUUGGGCGGUCGGAUAAAGGCCUCUGUCACGUAUCUUCCUUCGGGAUGACCUUAUAGGGGAGGCGAAAUGCGACCAGCCUGGACUGAGGUCCGCGCAUCUGCUAGGAUGCUGGCGUAAUGGCUGUAAGCGGCCCGUCUUGAAACACGGACCAAGGAGUCUAACAUCUAUGCGAGUGUUUGGGUGUCAAGCCCGAGCGCGUAAUGAAAGUGAACGGAGGUGGGAACCCUCGGGUGCACCAUCGACCGAUCCUGAUGUCUUCGGAUGGAUUUGAGUAAGAGCAUAGCUGUUGGGACCCGAAAGAUGGUGAACUAUGCUUGAAUAGGGUGAAGCCAGAGGAAACUCUGGUGGAGGCUCGCAGCGGUUUCUGACGUGCAAAUCGAUCGUCAAAUUUGGGCAUAGGG